rnacentral:lncRNA from 1 species
AUGUCCUCACCCAGGGCCUGGGGGGCCCCAACUCGUUCAGCCCCAUCAUCAGCCUGGGGAAAUAGGAGCUGCAUGGAAAUGGGGGAAUGGGGCUGGUGUGGAGCCCUGAGAGGGCUGCAGUGCCCAUCCUCGUCCUUGGCGGCCGUGAGCAGCCUCUGUGGCCCAGUCUGCAGUGGGGCCGAAAGGUGCACGAGGGGCUGGGGACAGGCAGGGCAGGUCUCUUGGCUGCUUGCAGCAUGGAAGACCAGAAGUCAAGGAGGUCUUUUCCUUGACACUCCUGUCCUUCUGAGGCCUGAGGGGUGGUCCUGUCCUGGGCACAGGUGGCCGCCCCUGGCAUGGUGCUCUGGUCCUGCUUCACCUAGUCAUGGCCAUCACCAGAGGGACUUAAAGUUCCAGAGUCCGGUUGAGCAGCGCGGGACAAUGGCCCUAGGCCUCCACAGGGGAGACCUUUGACCCCUCAGGCCGGCUCCCCUUCCAAAGGCAUCUUAGCUGUCUCACCCUUGCGGUCAGCUGGUCCUUCGUGGUCUUUUAUGUUUCCACAAACAGUUAUGGAUCUAGGAAUCUGUAAAACGGCUAUUUCAGUUCUCCCGCUCCAUUUCAUGCUGAACAGUUGAACCACCUCCUGCCCCCGGCCCAGUGGAUGGAGAUUCUUUUGAAGCUUCCUUCUGUCAUCAGGACCACACCACUUUCCUCCCCAGUUUCAUGCAGUUGGUAUCAGGCAGGAGACAGGUUCUGAUUCAAAGCAGGCACUAUGGCACGUGAAACGUCCCUGUAGACUUGAUUGUGUUUUUUAAAAAGUCUUUUAAAAAAAACGUUCAUUUGGCUGCACUGGGUGCUGGUUGCAGCAUGCCGGAUCUUUAGUUGUGAACUCCUAGUUGUAGCAUGUGGGCUCUAGCUCCCUGNNNNNNNNNNNNNNNNNNNNNNNNNNNNNNNNNNNNNNNNNNNNNNNNNNNNNNNNNNNNNNNNNNNNNNNNNNNNNNNNNNNNNNNNNNNNNNNNNNNGAUCUUUAGUUGUGAACUCCUAGUUGUAGCAUGUGGGCUCUAGCUCCCUGACCAGGGAUCGAACCUGGGCCCCUGCACUGGGAGUGUGGAGCCUUAACCACUGGGCCCACCGGGAAAGACUCCCUGUAAGCUUUAGGUAUUGUUUGUUCCCCACUCUCCGUGACGUCACUCAUCUCCUGGUCGUGGCUGGGUGGGCUUAUCUUUGGGGCCACCCCCCUCUUCCAGCCCUCCACUCCUAAGCCUGUGUCCCUGCAGAGCUGUAUCGUGGGGACAGAGGGUGGAGCCACUUCUUCCUGGAUACAAUAUAAGAUCUAGUUCUUUAAGAUUUUUAGCCUGGAACUGCUGGGCACCUGGAUGGAGCUCCUGGGGGUCUGCUUCGUGCUGCUGUUGUGAGCACUCAGUGAGAAGAAACAGAUGCACGGCACCUCUAGGGGCGCUCUCUUCGGGCUGGAUCACGGUGGCCUGGGGGAGGCUGUUUCAGGUUGGCACCGUCAGCGUCUCGCUGCUUGAGCUCAGGAUGUGGCUUGUGGUUCUUUGGUCUCUGGCACCAACAGAUCCGGGAGAACAGGCAGCCUUGGGCUGGCAGGACAGCCUUCUCUGCCCUCAGACCCAUGGUCUGAUCCCUGGCCGGUGUGCAGCAGGGGAGGGCUCUGACCAGAGCCCGUCAGGGCAGAGCAGGGAGCACUCAGUGGCUUCCUAUUUCAGCCCCUAGCCCUCCCGAGGCCCAGCUCCACUUCCCCGUGCGUGGGCUCCUCAAAUGCCCUGUAUCCCUGUAUAAAUGCUCACUUUUAAAAUCUCUAAGUGGGUCUCUGGUUCUUGCCAUCAAAAGAGGGUUGACUAAGGCAAAGCUGAUCUGUCCCCUGGCAUGAUUUUCAAGCCAUCGACUCAGAGGUAAAGAACGAGCGGGAGGAGCCCGCUCUGUCUGCUGCUUCCUCCCGUUUCCAGGGCAGGCAACGAGGCAGCCAGAGGGCCCCCUGGUGUCCUUGGGCCCAGCUCCCGCCCCGCAGGUCUCCACCUCCACACUCCCCUCCCUCCCAACCUCAAGGCCUGUGANNNNNNNNNNNNNNNNNNNNNNNNNNNNNNNNNNNNNNNNUGUAGGAAAGUGGCCCUGGAAAUAUUCCCAAGGUAAUGAGCGUCAGUCGAUCCCAGACCAACCAAGGAAUGUCCAUGGAUGGUAGCGGGUCCCAGGGAUAGCAGGAGGAAGGGACGGGCAGGUGUGCCCAGGAGGUGUGACUACAAGGGGGCGGGAGCAGGACAGAGCCUCCUUUGGACCCCCUUCCUGAUUCUAGAAGCCCUCCGGCCCCCGCCUGCCAGCUCCACACCCUUAAAGGCUGCUGCANNNNNNNNCCCGUGGCCCAGAGGCCCAGCCCCCACACAGCCUGCUUGGUCUGCUCUUCCUAGGAAUUCAAUUAUAGCAGCAAUUUCCUCUCUUCCUCUGCCCAGCACCCAGGGCUGCCCCACUGAGCCUCACCUGCUCUCCCAGGUGGGGCUGGGGGAGGGAGGAGACUGGAGCCACCAGCCGAUCUGACGAUAGACUGCUUAGAUUGCUUCAUCAGGAUCUGGCUCAGGAGGGAGACUCGCUUGACCACUGCCUUGGCACAGUCCCUACUUCCGAGCCUCACUUGGCCCACCUAUCAAAUAGGCAGAUUCAGUAUCUCUAUCAACCCUCCUUGCCCUAAAGGAGGCUUGGUGUGUUUUGCUUUUUCUUGGGGAAAUUCUUUUUUUUUUUUUAAUGUUUAUUUAUUUAUUUGGCUGCAGUGAGGUCUUAGGUGAGGGCCACGGGAUCUAGUUCCCCAGUCAGGGAUCAAACCCUGGGCCCCCUGCACUGGGCACACGGAGUCUUAAGCCACUAGACCAAGAAGGAAGUUCCACUGGGGAGACUCUUAUCUUGAAAGUGCAGUGUUUUUGUUAGAGACACAGGAAAAUUAGCUUAAUAAUGUUGUAGCCAUGCGUUCCAGGAAACAAACUCACUGAGAAGGACAAUGCA